CCUACGGGGGGCAGCAGUAGGGAAUCUUUCACAAUGGGCGAAAGCCUGAUGGAGCAACGCCGCGUGCAGGAUGAAGGCCUUCGGGUUGUAAACUGCUUUUAUAAGCGAGAAAUAUGAUGGUAACUUAUGAAUAAGGAUCGGCUAACUACGUGCCAGCAGCCGCGGUCAUACGUAGGAUCCGAGCAUUAUCCGGAGUGACUGGGUGUAAAGAGUUGCGUAGGUGGCAUAAUAAGUAGCUAGUGAAAGUUGGUGGCUCAACCAUUCAGACUAUUAGGUAAACUGUUAAGCUCGAGACCGUUAGGGGUAACUGGAAUUUGUAGUGUAGGAGUGAAAUGCGUAGAUAUUAGAAGGAACACCAAUAGCGUAGGCAGGUUGCUGGGACGGUUCUGACACUAAGGCACGAAAGCGUAGGGAGCGAACGGGAUUAGAUACCCGAGUAGUC
rnacentral:rRNA from 1 species